UACGGAGGGGGCAAGCGUUGUUCGGAAUCAUUGGGCGUAAAGAGCGCGUAGGCGGCCCGGUAAGUCCGCUCUGAAAGUCCAGGGCUCAACCCUGGAAAGCGGGUGGAUACUGCCGGGCUAGAAUCCGGAAGAGGCGAGUGGAACUCCUGGUGUAGCGGUGGAAUGCGCAGAUAUCAGGAAGAACACCAAUAGCGAAGGCAGCUCGCUGGGACGGUAUUGACGCUAAGGCGCGAAAGCGUGGGGAGCGAACAGG
rnacentral:rRNA from 1 species